AUUGAACGCUGGCGGCAGGCCUAACACAUGCAAGUCGAGCGAGCGGCGGACGGGUGAGUAAUGUAUGGGGACUGCCCGAUAGAGGGGGAUAACUACUGGAAACGGUGGCUAAUACCGCAUACUGUCGGAUAACCCAUAUGGGAUUAGCUAGUAGGUAAGGUAAUGGCUUACCUAGGCGACGAUCCCUAGCUGGUCUGAGAGGAUGAUCAGACACACUGGGACUGAGAUACGGCCCAGACUCAUAAGGAGGCAACAGUGGGGAUUAUUGCAGAAUGGUCCCAAGCCUGAUGCAGCCGUGCCGCGGUUAUUAAGAAGACCCUAGGGUUGUAAAGCACUUUCAGUAGAGAGGCGUUACCGACAGAAGAAGCGCCGGCUAACUCCGUGCCAGCAGCCGCAGUAAUAC
rnacentral:rRNA from 1 species